AGGGCGGUGGUGGGGGUGAUGCGGGAGCUGCGGAGGGUGGCUCAGGGGUCGCUCCCAGCCGGGUGCUGCAGCAGUGCGGGCAGCUCCAGAAGCUCAUUGUCAUCUUCAUUGGCAGCCUGUGCGGGCUGUGCACCAAGUGCGCUGUGUCCAAUGACCUCACCCAGCAGGAGAUACGGACCCUGGAGGUGAGGAAACUGAAGGCCUGAGGGAGAACUGACUUGCCAGGAACCCCUGUUAAGGAGAAUUAACAAAGUGUGGUUAUUAAAGAAGAACUGAGUUGGGAGUCAGACCUGGAGGCCCGCACCCUUGGUUAAGACAUUAUACCACCGUGAGUAUGGCCUGUUGACUGAGGGUGAGCCACUCCAUCCUCGUCUGAUUGUGGGGUCUUGACCUCAAGGGGUUCCCUGCAGGAAGA
ensembl:lncRNA novel transcript